rnacentral:rRNA from 1 species
UACGAAGGGGGCUAGCGUUGCUCGGAAUCACUGGGCGUAAAGGGUGCGUAGGCGGCUGAUCAAGUCGGAGGUGAAAUCCCUCGGCUCAACUGAGGAAUUGCCUUCGAUACUGUUCGGCUUGAGUCCUGGAGAGGGUAGCGGAAUUCCCGGUGUAGCGGUGAAAUGCGUAGAGACCGGGAAGAACACCAGUGGCGAAGGCGGCUACCUGGACAGGUACUGACGCUGAAUCGCGAAAGCUAGGGGAGCAAACAGG